rnacentral:tRNA from 1 species
GCGAAGGUGGCGGAAUUGGUAGACGCGCUAGCUUCAGGUGUUAGUGUNNNGGACGUGGGGGUUCAAGUCCCCCCCCUCGCACCA